GGGGGGGAGGUUAGCGGAAAAUGAAAAUGACCUGAGAACGGAAUAUCGAGUACUGAAAGGUAAAGGGCGCCUACACACCUCGAGUUAAAGACUCCAAGCAGCUUUGAAAAGGAGCACCAGUCGGCUACCCCUGCUACUAAACUCGGAGCCUUCCCGACCGUGCAGUACCACCAGAAGCAGAAUUAACCCACUUCGAGGAAUCCCAGAACACCUAACUGGAUAUUACGGAACAAAGUAAUUGACACGUAAAAUUUCUGUCAGCUGUCUCGGUAGUGUCUUGUAAAUAAGAGAAAGAGGGAACUAUCGCAGCUGUUUCAUGUGAG